AAUGAAAGACAACAGCAUUGGACCACAAGAUAGACUGAUCUGUUUUGGACAACUUUUUGGCAUGUGUGACCAUAUCAGUUUUCCUUUAGGUCAGGCUGAGUACUCUGUGUACAAGUACGUACCUUACGGACCGGUGGAAGAGGUUCUUCCGUACCUCUUUAGAAGAGCCAUGGAAAACAGAGGGGUUCUGAAGAAGGUCAAGAAAGAAAAGAGGCUCCUCUGGCAAGAACUACGAAGAAGGUUAAAGAGUGGGGAGCUCCGAUACAAUCCAAUGAAGAUUUCUGCCCAAGAAACAUCCGGCUGUGCAGGGGAAUAUGUCUUCUAGAGUAUGAUAAGGAGACCAGGUCAAAGGUGAUCCAUGUGUCCAAUCUCAGAAUUUUUUUUAACUGUGAACUGUGACCUUGGAUAAAAAAAGAACUAAAUUUACAUUUUGUUUAUCAAUGUAAACAAGGAGGCCCUCUAUCUUGAUGUAAAUCCUUUAAGUUUGUGUUAGUGAUCUACUUGAUGGGUCAGUCAUUCCAUGCAUAAUACUGCUGUCUUCUUCACCAUUAUAUGUUGCACUGUAUAUUGGGAUUGAAUGGUGCAUUUUAUGAUAUACUUGUUCUUUAAUUGUGUUUUCUUUUAAUUGUUAUACUACAGUAACUGUGAUUUUUGCAGAAACUGUUGGAAUCUCUAUAACAUGAAUUUCAUUAUGUAGGACUCUAAAGAGUUUAUUUCAGUCAGAUCUGAUUUUUUAUAUUAAUAUAUGGAUUUGUCGCUUGAAAAUUGAGUUAUUGAUUAAUAUAUUGAAUGAGUUUUUAAUUCAAUGUUGAUUUAUUGUCUUAAAAGAUUCACAGAUAUAGGGAUCAUUUUGACAUUCCCCCAGAUUAAAAGUGCUACAUUGUAAUUAUGCAUCAUAAAAAAUAUUGUCCUACAAGGUUAAAUGCCCUUGAUAAAUGUCAAAUACAGUUCCAAAUGAAAAUAAUAUCUGAUGAUUUAGGCCCAUUGAGAAUAAAUUGUGCGUGAUAUUUUUUUGUACGGAAGUGUAGGAGAAAUAUACCGGUAGUUUUCAAAAUAUUGCCAAAGGUUCUUAUUGCAAGAACUAUUGAAUAACAUCACGAAAAUGCUGUUAAAAGCUAAGUAUGUAUUGAGGAAAGAGAUAUUUUUUUU